CUUGGUCAUUUAGAGGAAGUAAAAGUCGUAACAAGGUCUCCGUAGGUGAACCUGCGGAGGGAUCAUUACAGAGUUCGUGCCCUCGCGGGUAGAUCUCCCACCCUGUGUUAUUAUUACCUUGUGUUGCUUUGGCGGGCCGCCCUCGGCUACCGGCCCUCGCUGGUACGCGCCCGCCAGAGGACCCCAAACUCUGAAUGUUAGUGUCGUCUGAGUACUAUACAAUAGUUAAAACUUUCAACAACGGAUCUCUUGGUUCUGGCAUCGAUGAAGAACGCAGCGAAAUGCGAUAAGUAAUGUGAAUUGCAGAAUUCAGUGAAUCAUCGAAUCUUUGAACGCACAUUGCGCCCCUUGGUAUUCCGAGGGGCAUGCCUGUUCGAGCGUCAUUUCAACCCUCAAGCACAGCUUGGUCUUGGGCUUCGCCGCUAACCCGGCGGGUCUUAAAAUCAGUGGCGGUGCCGUCGGGCCCUGAGCGCAGUACAUCUCUCGCUAUAGGGUCCCGGCGGUUGCUGGCCAGCAACCCCCCAAUUUUCUAUGGUUGACCUCGGAUCAGGUAGGGAUACCCGCUGAACUUAAGCAUAUCAAUAAGCGGAGGA
rnacentral:rRNA from 1 species